GAUGAUGUAUCGAAAAGCGUCUUUGCUUCAAAAAUGAGAAAAUUCGAAAAUAUUCAAGAGAACGCGUGGAGGAGAGUCUUUGAAAAACGAUAUAAUUGCCAGCAACGUAACGAUACGUUAUUUUCUUAAUUAGAUUCAUUAACAUUAACGAAAAGAACAACGUUUAUUUGUUUAUUUGUUUAUUUGUAUCGUUUUUCUCAUUUCUCUCAAGGUAAAAAGAGAAACAAGUAUUUCGAGCGAGAUACGAUUAUAUACACGUGUACAUGUAUAUCUCAUCCGAUAUAUCGUAUAAUAUCAAACACAAUUUACCUCUUUCUUUCAGCAUGUCUUGGUUUCCUUCGAAAAUAUCGUUUCUCGAAUUGUGCCUUAAUUUCCCUGUAACAAUAUCCGUGUUUAUCAGAUAAAUCAUAUGGAAUCGUCGAGAUACGAGAAUUUAAACAAUCCUAUAAACACGGCGCGGCAAUUAUCGUUCUAAAAAAAAAAAUAUAAA
rnacentral:misc_RNA from 1 species